GUGCCAGCCGCCGCGGUAAUACCGGCAGCCCGAGUGAUGGCCGAUCUUAUUGGGCCUAAAGCGUCCGUAGCUGUCCGCGCAAGUCCAUCGGGAAAUCCACCCGCCCAACGGGUGGCCGUCCGACGGAAACUGCACAGCUUGGGACCGGACGGCUCGAAGGGUACGUUCGGGGUAGGAGUGAAAUCCCAUAAUCCCGCACGGACCACCGAUGGCGAAAGCACUUCGAGAAAACGGAUCCGACAGUGAGGGACGAAAGCCAGGGUCUCCAACCGGAUUAGAUACCGGAGUAGUCC
rnacentral:rRNA from 1 species